ensembl:lncRNA novel transcript
AGAGAAUGAUCAGGAAGGAGCGAUUUGAGGAAAUAACAUGUGAGCUAGACUUUUAAGGAGGAGAAAGAGCCAGCUGCAGAAAGCCAGCAAGAAUGGUGUUUAAUGCAAAGAAAAUCAUAAACCGACCCCUAGCUGGAAAUGAUCCUAACCUGUGGAAGCUCCUGAAUUGAGUGAGGAACCGGCUGGCAGGAGAGACGGAGUCUCACUGUGUCAUCCAGGCUGCAGUACAGUGGCGCGAUCUCUCAGUGCAGUGGCGCGAUUUCCGCCUCCUGGAUUCAAGUGAUUCUCCUGCCUCAGCCUUCCAAGUAGCUGGGACUGCAGCAUAACCCAGCUCAUCCUGACUGAUGCCACCAUUUCAAGAGAAGAGAAAUGAGACUGAGAAAGAUUAAGAUAUUUUCUUAAGAUUGGACACUGUGUUCCUACCCGUUGUGCUUGCCUUAUAGUCGAAAGAGAAUUUAUUUAAGCACAGAGAUCAAGCAAAAGUGGAGCACAGGACACACUUUCAAGUUGCCUUGGGGACUGCUCUGUAGAACAAAAAAGAAACUCAAGAUUUUAAGGAAUAAAAAGUACAAAUGAAGAGAAGGCAUGAUUACAAAAGUUGUUGAUCAGUAAUUCUCAUUGGUAGACAGAAAUACCAGUGGCUAAUGAUCGGCUAUACAUUGUUGAAUUAUAGGAUGUAUGGUAUUUAAAAUAUAUUUAUUUAAAACUAAAUUUUUUAAAGAUUUUUGAUGGGUUUAGGGGUACAGGUGCAGUUGUGUUACAUGGAUAUAUUGUGUAGAGGUGAAAUCUGAGCUUUUAAUGUACAACUACCCAAAUAAGAUACAUUGAACCCGAUAGGCAGCAUUUCACUUUCACCCUCAUUCUAUCCUCCCACCGUUUGGAGCCUCCAAUGUCUAUCAUUCAACUCAGUAAGUCCAUGUCCAUGGUUUAGCGCCCACGUAUAAGUGGGAAUGUGCAGUUCUUGAUUUUCUGUUUCUGAGUCAUUUCACUAAGGAUAAUGCCCUCCAGCUCCAUACACAUUGCUGCAAAAGUCAUAAUUUCAUUCACUUUUAUGGCUGAAUAGUAUUCCAUGGUAUAUAUCUACCAGAUUGUUUUAUUCAAUGAUGUGUUGAUGGACACUUAGGUUGAUUUCACAACUUUGCUAUUCUGAAUUGUGAUACAAUAAAUAUACAAAUGCAGAAGGCUUUUUUAUAUAA